GGAUGUGAGGGUGAUCUGGCUGCAACAUCUGUCACCCCAUUGAUUGCCAGGGUUGAUUGGGCUGAUCUGGCUGGCUAGGCGGGUGUCCCUUCCUCCCUCACCGCUCUAUGUGCUUCCCUCCCGAAGCUGUGCGCUUGGUCGAAGAGGACAACCAUCCCUGAUAAAGAAGGACCAGUCUUCGGUCAAGGGUAUAGGAGUAGCUGCACUCCCCUGCUAGAAACCUCCAAACAAGCUCUCAAGAAAUGAGGAAGAGAAGGUAAAGUACCUUGAAAUACAAAGGUGACAUAUGACAAAUGUCAACAUUACUC
ensembl:misc_RNA 7SK 7SK RNA